GGGAAUAUGGCUCAGUUGGUAGAGUUCAUGUCUAGCAAGAAUGAGGCCCUGAGUUUAAAUCCCAGUACCACCC
rnacentral:tRNA from 1 species